ensembl:snRNA U6 U6 spliceosomal RNA
GAUGCUUGCUUAGGCAGCACAUGCUAAAACUGAAAUAAUGCAUACAAGAUGUUUAGCAUGGGUCCUGCACAAUUAUGACAUGCAAAUUCAUGAGUUGGUCUGUAUUUAA